GUAAGAGAAAGGGAAGGACGGCUUCCUUGUGUAGUAGCCCCUCUUCAUCUUUAUUUACAGAACUUUCUUCAGGAUCCCUUUCAGGUGGGGCUCCUAAGACCCUGGAUUAGGGUACUUUAUGAGCACUAUGGGGGCGGGAGAGGGCGAAUUAUUCAUUCACUCAAUAAAUAUUCAUUGGGUGACUGUGCCUGGCCCUUUGGGGUGAAGCAGCAAGCAAGACAGGCCCUCCAAAAGCUAACAUGUUAAUUGGGAAGGACAACAUUUACAUGCGUAAGUCAUUUCGAAUGCUGCUGCUUACUGGGAAGGGAGUUUAUGCAUGUGGCAGGCGUGGCAGUGUGGCAGGUAACUGGCGACAAGGAAGGGCUGGAGGGGACAGCUAGUGCACAAGGCACGAGGAAAGGGAGCGGGUGGGUUCAGGAAGCAUGGGUGUCACCGAAGGCCGCUGUGGCUGGAACAGAGAUGGAGGGGGAGUGAGAUGAAGGGGGUAGGGGGCAGGCUCUGACCUCGCUAGCCCCAGGCAGGAGCUGGGCUAUUUGUCUGGAGGAUAAAGGAAAGUUGUUGACUUCUGAGCAAGCCAUUGACAUGACCCUGUUGGUAGAAAGAUCUCUUUAACUACUGUGUACAAAAUUGGUGUUUAGAAGAGGAUUGGCGUGGAGACAGAAAGACCAAUUAGGAGAAUGUUGUACUGGAUCCAGGCAACAGUCCCUAGAGUGGUUUGUGUCAGCUGAUGGCGGUGAACUUUAUUUAGGAGAUAAAAUCGUCAGGGCUUGACCACGGAUUGGUUGUGGGUGAUGAUGGGAAGAGAUGUGUCAAAGAUUCUCCCAGAUUUCUGGCAAGAACAGCUAGGUCUGAGGAGAGGGAGAAUGUUCAUUUUCGACAUGUUGGGUUUUUCUGGCUGCGCAGCGUGGCUUGUGGGAUCUUAGUUGCCCGACCAGGGAUUGAACCCCGGCCCUCGGCAGUGAAAGCGCGGAGUCCUAACCACUGGACCGCCAGGGAAUUCCCUGGAUAUGUUGAGUUUGAGUUGCUUUUGAGACAUGCAAGAAAAGAAGUCAGAUCAUUCCUUAGACAGAGAAGACUAGAGCUCAGAGCAGCGGGUUAGUAAGCAAAGCCAACAGAGAGUGAGCAGCUAGAGAGGCAGGGGGAGCAGAGGUGGCACAGAACCCAAGAUGAGGGGGGCAUGGGGAGCAACAUGACAUGCUUCUGAGAGAUCCAGUUAGAAGGUAACCGAAGAAAGCCUGUUAGAUUUAGCUGUCCGGAGGCCCUUGGCCCAGGCAAUUCGGAUGGAAUGGUAGGACAGAAACCCAGAUGCAGUGAGUUGAGGAAUGGCUGGGAAAUGGAGACACAAAAACCUUGAGAAUAGGUGGUUCUUCCCAGUUGGUGGGAGGGAACAUGGGUUUGAGAAGAGUUUUUUCUUUUAGGUUGGGAGAAACUUGAGCCUGUUUAAAUGCUGAAGUAAAGGCUUAAUAGAGAAGAGCUGAUAUUCAGAAGAGGGAAGAGGGAAGCAGUCUAGGACUGGGACGGUGAUUCACCAUCUUGCUGUCCUACCAGCACAGCUUCACAUGGCCCAAGAUGACUGCUUGAGCUCCAGUCAUUUAGUCUGAGUUCAUCCAGCAGGAAGGAAAGAGAAAGGAUUGCUGGGAAGAUAGAAUAGACAUCGGUGAGGAGUUUUGCAUGCACCCGGCACCCAAUGAGUUCUCCAUAAAUGGCCUUGUUGCUGCUAUAGAAGGUGCUGGAGGUUGAAAGGUUCACGGAUCCCUGCUGUACAGUUACCUUUCUUUGACCUUCUGAUAAACUCCCGGAAAUGGUUUUGUCGGGUCAGAAGAUGCACAUUUUUAAAAGGUUUUGCUGCAAUUGGAAAAUUGUCUUCCAGUUUGCAGGUGCAGUUUCCAGUCACCCAGCAUAUAAAAGGGCUUGUUCUCCUGCCUCCAACCUGCAGCCAGGGGUCCUGGGAUUCUGCAUCCCCUGGGCCACUCUGCUCUCUAAUACUGAAGUGAAAAUCACCUAAGCGUCAGCCCGGGAGACCACGCCUUCCAAGGCUCACUUUGCCAGUGACUUCCAAGCCAUGCUUUCUGUUUCCUGCUCUGACCUGGUUGCCACUCGUCACCUCGGCCACCUCCCUUCCUCUGGACCACUGCCCUUCUCCCCAGAAAUGGGUAACCUCCUGCCAUCUGGUGACAUCUCCAGGCUUCAGCUCUCAGGAUGGCUUCUCUGGGCUCAGCACCCCCCCUGAAUUCCCUAAAACACAGCUACCACCAACCUGACAAAACCUGGCUGCAGGUUUGGGGAGAACAAAAUACAGAUGUAAAUCAGAGAUCAGGGACUUCCCUGGUGGUCCAGUGGUUAAGACUCCGUGCUCCCAAUGCAGGGGGGCCUGGGUUCGAUCCCUGGUCAGGGAACUAGAUCCCACAUGCCGUAACUAAGAGUCCACAGGCCGCAACUAAAGACCCAGCACAGCCAAAUAAAUAAAUAAAUAUUUAAAAAUUAAAAAUAAACUGGAAGUCCACAGUCUGGGAUUCUUCACGGGGGCCACAUGCCUGCUUUCUUCUUAGCCCCCACUGGCCUCUGUGCAGGGGCUCAGUGCCCUUGACUGGGUCCCUAUUGCCCAGCAUGUAGACCUCCCCAUCCCCCCACCCCAGGGGAGAAGAAAUCCUGGCCUCCCGUCUAAAGCUUGCUUCACCUCCUUCUCCUACACCCUCCUGCACAGAGCAGUCCAAAAUCGAGAUUAAGGGGGGAGAAAAAGUUCUUUAACUAGCUGACCCAGUUUAUAUAACUGAAUAGAAUACUUAACAUCUUAGUCUAAAGCAGCUGUCUUUGGGCGUCCCCAAGAACAGCAGGAAGCUCUUACUUCACAGCUGCCUGACCAAGAGGGCUCAAGAAAGUGGUCUUUCCAAGACAAUCCAGAACAAAGGGACGAUCGUCUCUGUAAACAGAUCCCCUCUGCUGCCCUAGAAUGCAAAAGACGUUUAUAACCUUUACGGUUGUCACAGUUUCUCUCAUCGGCAGUUUUAUGAUGCAUUCUCCCAUGGCGCCCCAUGACGCUCUCGUUUUAUUAAAAUGAAUGUUUGAUAAUUUAGUAAAAUUUAUUUUUUUAAUUAAUUUAUUUAUUUUGGCUGCAUUGGGUCUUCAUUGCUGCGCACGGGCUUUCUCUAGUUGCAGCGAGCAGGGGCUACUCUUUGUUGCAGUGCAUGGGCUUCUCACUGCAGUGGCUUCUCUUGUUGCGGAGCACGGGCUUUAGGUGCAUGGGCUUGAGCAGUUGUGGCUCGCGGGCUUUAGAGUGCAGGCUCAGUAGUUGUGGCACACGGGCUUAGUUGCUCCGUGGCAUGUGGGAUCUUCCCAGACCAGGGCUCGAACCCGUGUCCCCUACAUUGGCAGGUGGAUUCUUAACUACUGCACCACCAGGGAAGUCCCUAAUUUGGUAAAUUUUAAAUGGUACUUCAAUUUGAUUUAAUUUAUAUUUCUCUGGUUACUAGAAAAAUUGAACUCUGGCCCAUUUAAAUUUCUUCCUAUGUGAAUUGUCUGUUUAGAUUAGGAACCUAUAUUUCUCUCUGGUAACAUGUAGGAAGUAUUUUUCCCAGUUUUCCAUUGUCUUUUUAACUUAAUUUGUUGACCUAAAGCGUUUACACUUUUACGUAGUCAAGUCUCUUAGUACUUUCCUUUCUGGUGGCCGCCUUCUGUGUUAUGCUGAGAAAGACCUCCCCUACCCCAAAUUCACAUAAAUAAUCACUUAAAUGGUUGUGUUUACUCCAUUUGGAGUUUUAAUGCAGUGUAAGGGGUCCAACUUGAUCGUUUCCAAGUAUAUAGCCAAUUUCACAUUAAAGUCUUCUAUUGAAUAGUC